GACAAAAAAAAAACAUUUCUCGUCGGAGAGAGAGAGAGAGAGAGAAUGAAGUUCACAGACUCGCCGGUGAUCGAGCUUCCCGUCGGCGACGGCGUCCUCUCUCUACACCAAGACAACGGCUCCAUGCACGUCGGAACCUCCGUCUGGCCAUGCUCCCUCAUCCUCGUCAAAUUCGCCGAACGCUGGGCCCAAACCCCACCCGAAACCCCCAACCCUUACACCCACCUCCUCAACUUCGCCGGCAAGCGCGCCGUGGAGCUCGGCUGCGGCUGCGGCGUCGCCGGCAUGGGCCUCUACCUCCUCGGCCUCACUGACCUAGUCCUCACCGACAUCGCCCCCGUCAUGCCCGCACUGAAGCGCAAUCUCAAGGUGAACAAGCCCCUCCUUCGCAAGAAUCUCAAGUACUCCAUUCUCUACUGGAACAACGCUAGUCAGAUCAACGCGCUCAACCCUCCCUUCGAUCUUGUAAUCGCCGCCGACGUUGUUUACAUUGAGGAUUCUGUUCCUCAGUUGAUCUCUGCCAUGGAGAACCUCCUUGCUGAAAACGGUGUCGUUUUGCUUGGUUACCAGCUCAGGGACCCGGAAGCCCAUACGAGAUUCUGGGAAGACUGUCACCGAGUGUUUGAUGUUGAAAAAGUCCCUCAUGAUCAUCUUCAUCCUGAGUAUGCUUAUGAGGAGACUGAUGUUUAUCUUUUGAGGAAGAAGAAGAAACAGUGAUAUGGUUGUGCCAGAAUGUUGUUCGAGCCAGUGUGUAUAUUUGACCCUCCGGAAUCGGAUGAUUGUCAAGAUGGACAUGUAUGUGAUGCGUGACUAGAAGUUUGCUCACAUGAUGUGCAAGACGCUUUAUCCUAACUACAUAAAGAUGCGAAUCGAAAGGCAAAUGCAAUUUCCAAAGUUUGAAGGCUUUGCAGAGUACUUACAGUGGCUCAAAGUUGAGUGACUUGAUUCCACUACACUUAAAUUACUUUGUCAGUUUUGUUGCCAUAUUCCGUUAUUUCAGAACAAACCUACCUAACAAAAACAGCUGAGGACGUGUGAUGGAGAAUGGUCUGUCGCCAACGUUAAAAAAGAUGACCGAGAAGAAGAUUUUGACUUGGAGAAGGUGACUAUUUAUGUUUGUUUGCUAUUUUGCAUAGAAACAUAAAUUUUCAUUCAGUCCAUCGAUGUAAAUGUAAUAGUAGUGAAGCGACUUAAUUGUUCUGUUUUAACUUGAGUCCAAGAUAGGCGUCUUCUUCACUUUGUUACUUGGUUCUUGAAGUUGUAGGACUCCAUAUUUCCCGGUUGAGUGUAAUAAUUUUCUAUCUAUAUAACAUGUGUGAUUUUGAUC